UGCCAGCCGCCGCGGUAAUACGUAGGGCGCAAACGUUGUUCGGAUUCACUGGGUAUAAAGGGUUCGUAGGCGGGCCAGUUAGUCAGAGGUGAAAGCCAACGGCUCAACCGUUGAAUUGCCUCUGAUACUGCUGGUCUUGAGUCCGCUAGGGGAUGGUGGAAUUCCUGGUGUAGCGGUGAAAUGCGUAAAUAUCAGGAGGAACACCAGUGGCGAAGGCGGCCAUCUGGGGCGGUACUGACGCUGAGGAACGAAAGCUAGGGUAUCAAACGGGAUUAGAUACCCCGGUAGUCCUAGCCGUAAACGAUGGGCACUAGGUGUUGGAGGACUUCACCCCUUCAGUGCCGUAGCUAAUGCAUUAAGUGCCCCACCUGGGGAGUACGAUCGCAAGGUUGAAACUCAAAGAAAUUGACGG
rnacentral:rRNA from 1 species